ensembl:lncRNA
UGUUUUACCCAAUCAGGAACUGACAGUAUCACAUACAACCAUAAAAUUAAAAAUGUAAAUUGUACAGAGGAAAUCUUUACAUGUCGUCUCAGGGAUCUGCCACAACUACAGGACUAUGGAUAUAGCCAGAGCAGAGUUACAGUUAAGAUAAGCACAGCAAAUGAUGUCUGUCACACUCAAGAACUUGGAGCUGGCAAAACAAAUGACGUGAGGACAGGAGUCUGUGGAAAUGGCUUGAAAGGCAACAUCAUUUACAAAUGUGAAUCACGUAAUUGGAAAUCAAUAGAGAACAACUGUGUGCUUGAAGUUAUCGACAAACUUACAAGUACAGUUGAGUCCUUGCUUGUGGAGGAGAUUCCAGUGUUUAUGGCUAACCUCAGUAAUGCCACAGAACAGCAUAAUAUUAAUAUAACCCAGUCUCCUGCUACUGUCCAAGCAAUUGUGGAUAUACUCUCUACAAUUGCUAAUUUGUCAAAAUCAGUUUUUAUCAAUAAACCAGUAAUGGAGGUAUGUAUAUUAAUUUUUUUGCACUUUAAAUGGAAUUUAACAAGGUGUUAUCUUUUACUCAAGUUGUAUUGGAAUUGGUUACUUUGUAAUGGAGUAAUUUUUGCUGUA